UGGAGGAUAGCCUUUCGAAAGGAAGAUUAAUACUCCAUAAUAUAUUGAUUGGCAUCAAUUGAUAUUGAAAGCUCCGGCGGAUAGAGAUGGGCACGCGCAAGAUUAGUUAGUUGGUGAGGUAACGGCUCACCAAGACGAUGAUCUUUAGGGGCCUGAGAGGGUGAUCCCCCACACUGGUACUGAGACACGGACCAGACUCCUACGGGAGGCAGCAGUGAGGAAUUAUUGGUCAAUGGGUGCAAGCCUGAACCAGCCAUCCCGCGUGAAGGACGACUGCCCUAUGGGUUGUAAACUUCUUUUGUAUAGGGAUAAACCUACCCUCGUGAGGGUAGCUGAAGGUACUAUACGAAUAAGCACCGGCUAACUCCGUG
rnacentral:rRNA from 1 species